ensembl:lncRNA PCBP2-OT1 PCBP2 overlapping transcript 1
AGUGGGCUCUGUAGGGGUUCAACUUAAUCCCACACUGACCAGGAGCUGGCAUCAGCUCUGUUGCCCCACCCCUUCAUUCUUAUUGAAAAUAGCCCAAUUGUGCAGUGUGAAAUCUGCCACUAGGUAACUUUUUUUUUUAAUUCACUGAUUACAGCUCGUUUCAAAUUGUGUCUGAGCUCCUUUUUAAAGGAAAAAGGAAAAAAAUAAACAACUUUUUUUGUGUGAAUUUCAUGCUGGUGACAAGGUGCCGGAUUGACAGCCCUGGAGACUGAAAUCCUCUAUUUAUCCACAGGACAGGUACAGCACAGGCAGCGACAGUGCGAGCUUUCCCCACACCACCCCGUCCAUGUGCCUCAACCCUGACCUGGAGGGACCACCUCUAGAGGUGAGAGGGGAUGUUCAGUCUCCAAGGCUCACUCAAUCCUUCCGCCUCAGCCGAGACUGCCAACACACGGGGGGCCAGUGGCGCUGGUGAUUUUUGGUGCUGUGGACACCACCUGUCCACGGGGACCUGGACUGACCCCCCCAACCUCAUUUCACCCAGGCCGCGUAGCCCACCAGAUGGUAACACCAACUUUUUUUUUUUUUUU